rnacentral:rRNA from 1 species
UUUUAUGGAGAGUUUGAUCCUGGCUCAGGAUGAACGCUGGCGGCGUGCCUAAUACAUGCAAGUCGAGCGAACGGACGAGAAGCUUGCUUCUCUGAUGUUAGCGGCGGACGGGUGAGUAACACGUGGAUAACCUACCUAUAAGACUGGGAUAACUUCGGGAAACCGGAGCUAAUACCGGAUAACAUUUUGAACCGCAUGGUUCAAAAGUGAAAGACGGUCUUGCUGUCACUUAUAGAUGGAUCCGCGCUGCAUUAGCUAGUUGGUAAGGUAACGGCUUACCA